rnacentral:rRNA from 1 species
AGAGUUUGAUCCUGGCUCAGAUUGAACGCUGGCGGCAUGCUUUACACAUGCAAGUCGAACGGCAGCACGGGGGCAACCCUGGUGGCGAGUGGCGAACGGGUGAGUAAUACAUCGGAACGUGCCCAGUAGUGGGGGAUAGCCCGGCGAAAGCCGGAUUAAUACCGCAUACGACCUACGGGUGAAAGCGGGGGAUCGCAAGACCUCGCGCUAUUGGAGCGGCCGAUGUCAGAUUAGGUUGUUGGUGAGGUAAAAGCUCACCAAGCCGACGAUCUGUAGCUGGUCUGAGAGGACGACCAGCCACACUGGGACUGAGACACGGCCCAGACUCCUACGGGAGGCAGCAGUGGGGAAUUUUGGACAAUGGGGGCAACCCUGAUCCAGCCAUGCCGCGUGCGGGAAGAAGGCCUUCGGGUUGUAAACCGCUUUUGUCAGGGAAGAAAUCUUCUGGGCUAAUACCCCAGAGGG